rnacentral:lncRNA from 1 species
UAUCUCCUAGUCCUUAAUCUAGAUACAUCUUUUGUCAGGUUGCCUGGGAUCUUGCCUUUUGUUUAUUGUUGUAUCCAUAAGCUGAAGUUUUAAUCUGAAGUGAGCCACUUGACGUUUGCUUGCAGUAUAAGGGUGAUAGUGCGGGAAGGCUUGAUGAAGAGAUGGUGGAAGUGGAUAUUGUUUAGCAUAGCGAUCAAUAAGCAGCUGGUGCACAGAUGUAGAGGAAUAGAGCUAAUUAGCUGGAAAUGAUGAUCGGCUUA